CAGCAGCCGCGGUAAUACGAAGGGUGCAAGCGUUAAUCGGAAUUACUGGGCGUAAAGCGUGCGUAGGCGGUGAGUUAAGUCUGCUGUGAAAUCCCCGGGCUCAACCUGGGAAUGGCAGUGGAUACUGGCUCGCUAGAGUGUGUCAGAGGAUGGUGGAAUUCCCGGUGUAGCGGUGAAAUGCGUAGAGAUCGGGAGGAACACCGAUGGCGAGGGCAGCCCCCUGGGCCAAUACUGACGCUCAUGCACGAAAGCGUGGGGAGCAAACAGGAUUAGAUACCCGUGUAGUCCCUGUCUCUUAUAC
rnacentral:rRNA from 1 species